rnacentral:rRNA from 1 species
UACGUAGGGGGCAAGCGUUGUCCGGAAUCAUUGGGCGUAAAGAGCGUGUAGGCGGCCCGGUAAGUCCGCUGUGAAAGUCGGGGGCUCAACCCUCGAAAGCCGGUGGAUACUGUCGGGCUAGAGUGCGGAAGAGGCGAGUGGAAUUCCUGGUGUAGCGGUGAAAUGCUUAGAUAUGACAUAGAACACCAAUUGCGAAGGCAGCUUGCUACACAGUUAUUGACGCUGAGGCACGAAAGCGUGGGGAGCGAACAGG